GGGGGUGGACGCGACGCUGGCGGCACGCCUAACACAUGCAAGUCGAACGAAGUAGCAAUACUUAGUGGCGAACGGGUGAGUAUAAUGUGGGUAUCUGCCUUUUGGUUUGGAAUAACACGAGGAAACUUGUGCUAAUACCGGAUAAGCCUUUACAGGGAAAGUUUUAACGCCAAAAGAUGAGCCCACACUCGAUUAGCUAGUUGGUAAGGUAAUGGCUUACCAAGGCUACGAUCGAUAGCUGAUCUGAGAGGAUGAUCAGCCACAUUGGGACUGAGACACGGCCCAAACUCCUACGGGAGGCAGCAGUGGGGAAUCUUGCACAAUGGGGGAAACCCUGAUGCAGCGAUGCCGCGUGAGUGAAGAAGGCCUUUGGGUUGUAAAGCUCUUUCGUCGGGGAAGAAAAUGACUGUACCCGAAUAAGAAGGUCCGGCUAACUUCGUGCCAGCAGCCGCGGUAAUACGAAGGGACCUAGCGUAGUUCGGAAUUACUGGGCUUAAAGAGCUCGUAGGUGGUUGGAAAAGUUGGUGGUGAAAUCCCAAGGCUUAACCUUGGAACUGCCAUCAAAACUUUUUGACUAGAGUAUGAUAGAGGAAAGUGGAAUUUCUAGUGUAGAGGUGAAAUUCGUAGAUAUUAGAAAGAACACCAAUUGCGAAGGCAACUUUCUGGAUCAUAACUGACACUGAGGAGCGAAAGCAUGGGUAGCGAAGAGGAUUAGAUACCCUCGUAGUCCAUGCCGUACACUAUGUGUGCUAGACGUUGGAAAUUUAUUUUUCAGUGUCGCAGCAAAAGCGUUAAAGCACACCGGCCUGGGGGAGUACGACCGCAAAGGUUUAAAACAUC
rnacentral:rRNA from 1 species